rnacentral:lncRNA from 1 species
AAAGGUCCAGGACCCCUUUUUUCUCAUAGGAAUAAUAAAGCAUUUGACUAGAAAAUAAUGUCAGUGGGAUUCUCAUCCACCAUACGUUAACAGUGCAUGUCACGGGCAGUGAACCUCCCUUGGAAUCACACAGGACCCUGAAGAUUAAGGCAAAUCCACUUUCCUCCUCCUCUGGGACAGAAGUUUCAACCUGCAGAAACAGCGUAACUUCAUUCUUCAGCUCAUAUUCACACCUCAUUGCUAGAGGCAUUACUCUUUUGUUUUGAAACCUUCUUAUCUCUUUUCCAGAUUUGACCUGCUUUUCUUUUUUUUUCUUUCUUUUUUUUUCAUUUUUGAGAGCUAGUGUUACAGUGCUGUCCUAAAGAUGAGAGAAUUACCCUUAAACAGUCUCUGAGAGAUGCCUUCUCAGGUGGUCUUUUUCCAGCGUUAUCCCUGAUGUUGUCUUCACCAGCUCUCUGUAUUUCUAGGAAGACGCUGAUCUCCACUAUAUCAAAUCUUGGUAUCUCCGGUAAGGACCAAGAGUUUCAAACAGGCAGAAUCCUCUCCACUUUCCUUUUUUGUUGAUGUCCUUGGUAUGUGGCCUCCAGCUGAUGGAUCCUGGCUCCCCUCAGCACGCUUCAUUCUGCAAAACGUCGCUUCGAAUCGUGUUUUACAGGGGAGACCUUGGAGCCGUUCUUGUACCCAGAAAUGGUGCUGCUCCCCCAGCAUCUGGAAGACUGAAGCCUGACCACCAAAGCUCUUGUCCCGGAUUAAUUCCAGAUAAGCAAAUUUCAUAAAGCAUGUUACAGCAAGACAGAGAAACAUAGCAGUGUUUUGAAGCCUGGUUUUGAUUUUUGCUGGAAAGGAAGCAUGUUAGUGAUGCUGUACCUUAACCAGGUGAUACUGAAGUUUCUCCACAUCAGAUUUGCCCCCCUCCUGAAACAAUAAAAGUGCUACCAGUUGGGCUGCA